GACGAACCACACAAACGUUAUUCGGAAUUACUGGCUUAAAGGGUGCGUAGGCGGCGUGGAAAGUUGGGUGUGAAAUCCCUCAGCUUAACUGAGGAACAGCGCCCAAAACUACCAUGCUCGAGGGAGAUAGAGGAAUGCGGAACUUAGGGUGGAGCGGUGAAAUGCGUUGAUAUCCUAGGGAACACCGGUGGCGAAAGCGGCAUUCUGGAUCUCUUCUGACGCUGAGGCAC
rnacentral:rRNA from 1 species